GGCACAUGUUAUAGGCUGUCACAGAAGAAACUUCACAAGAAGGGAAGACCAGGCUCACAGAGUAAGCAAAAGAAACAUACUGAUGAGAAAGACCCCUAGUCUCCUAAGACAGCAGCUUAGACAAAAACACAUAAUUAUCAGAAAUGGUCACUCUGAGUAUCUUUCUCUGCAUUUGUAAGGAAAGUAAGGAACUCCCUAGCAGCACAUGAGGAAAAUCACAGGACACCUGUUACCUUGGCGGCCUUCAUCAUUGGUAAACAAGCCAGUAUCACUGCUGCUGCAAACACUGCUGGUUUCACUGGAACAAAAACAGAGAAAAAAGCAUGGUUACAGUUGCAACAGGCACAAUACAAAAAACACUCUACUGCAUUUUACUACCUUCUCCAAUACCAAAAUGCUUUACAUGUCUCACAAAAAUUGAAUUUCAGAUACAUGACUGGCUCUAGAACAGAAUGUAACUCUUUCCAUUAAAAUUUACCAAUGCUGCAUCACUUGAAA